rnacentral:rRNA from 1 species
GACGAACGCUGGCGGCGUGCUUAACACAUGCAAGUCGAACGGAAAGGCCCUGCUUUUGUGGGGUGCUCGAGUGGCGAACGGGUGAGUAACAUGUGAGUAACCUGCCCUUGACUUUGGGAUAACUUCAGGAAACUGGGGCUAACACCGGAUAGGAGCUCCUGCUGCAUGGUGGGGGUUGGAAAGUUUCGGCGGUUGGGGAUGGACUCGCGGCUUAUCAGCUUGUUGGUGGGGUAGUGGCUUACCAAGGCUUUGACGGAUAGCCGGCAUGGGAGGGUGACCGGCCACAUUGGGACUGAGGUACGGCGCAGACUCGUACGGUGGGCAGCGGGGGGGAAUAUUGCACAGUGAGCGGGAGCCUGAGAAAGCAGCGCCGCGUGCGGGAUGACGGCCUUCGGGUUGUGAACCGCUUUCACCUGUGACGAAGCGUGAGUGACGGUAAUGAGUAAAGAAGCACCGGCUAACUACGUG